AGAGUUUGAUCCUGGCUCAGGAUGAACGCUAGCGACAGGCCUAACACAUGCAAGUCGAGGGGUAACAGGGGCUUCGGCCCGCUGACGACCGGCGCGCGGGUGAGUAACGCGUAUGCAACCUGCCUGUAACAGCGGGAUAGCUCCCUGAAAGGGGAAUUAACACCGCAUAAGACCACGCUCUCGCAUGGGGACGGGGUAAAAUAUUUAUAGGUUACAGAUGGGCAUGCGUGACAUUAGUUAGUUGGUGAGGUAACGGCUCACCAAGACUGCGAUGUCUAGGGGUUCUGAGAGGAAGGUCCCCCACACUGGAACUGAGACACGGUCCAGACUCCUACGGGAGGCAGCAGUGAGGAAUAUUGGUCAAUGGACGCAAGUCUGAACCAGCCAUGUCGCGUGCAGGAUGACUGCCCUAUGGGUUGUAAACUGCUUUUAUAUUGGAAGAAUUGCGCUUACGAGUUAAGCGUUUGACGGUACAUUAUGAAUAAGGAUCGGCUAACUCCGUGCCAGCAGCCGCGGUAAUACGGAGGAUCCGAGCGUUAUCCGGAUUUAUUGGGUUUAAAGGGUGCGUAGGCGGAAAUGUAAGUCAGUGGUGAAAUCCUGCAGCUUAACUGUAGAAUAGCCGUUGAAACUGUGUUUCUUGAGUACAUUUGAGGUAGGCGGAAUGUGGUGUGUAGCGGUGAAAUGCAUAGAUAUACCACAGAACACCGAUUGCGAAGGCAGCUUACUAAACUGUCACUGACGCUGAUGCACGAAAGCGUGGGUAUCAAACAGGAUUAGAUACCCUGGUAGUCCACGCUGUAAACGAUGAUUACUGGUUUGUUUGCGAUACACUGCAAGUGACUGAGCGAAAGCAUUAAGUAAUCCACCUGGGGAGUACGUCGGCACGAUGAAACUCAAAGGAAUUGACGG
rnacentral:rRNA from 1 species